GGAAGGAUCAUUAUUGAAUAAACUUGAACAGGCUGUUGCUGGCUCCCCUGGGGUAUCGUGCACGCUUGUCAUCUUUAUCUCUCCCACUGUGCACAUAUUGUAGAUCUGGAGUUUUAAAUUGUUUAGAUUGAGGACUGCUGUACAGCUUUGCCUUGCUUCUCCCAGGUCUAUGUUAUUUUUUACACAACCUCUGAAUGUGUUUGGAAUGUUAUAAAAAGUUAAAUAUACAACUUUCAGCAACGGAUCUCUUGGCUCUCGCAUCGAUGAAGAACGCAGCGAAAUGCGAUAAGUAAUGUGAAUUGCAGAAUUCAGUGAAUCAUCGAAUCUUUGAACGCAUCUUGCGCUCCUUGGUAUUCCGAGGAGCAUGCCUGUUUGAGUGUCAUUAAACUCUCAACCACACCAAGUGUGGCUUUGGACAUGGGGGUUUUGCAGGCUUCUAAAAAGUCAGCUCUCCUGAAAUGUAUCAGUAGUAUCUGAGCAGGAAAAAACUACUACAGGUGUGAUAACUAUCUAUGCCUUUGUGGACUGCAUUGACAGAUUACACUGCUUCUAACAAGUGAUCUUUUUCACCUUUGACAAAUUUGACCUCAAAUCAGG
rnacentral:rRNA from 1 species